GAUGAACGCUGGCGGCGUGCCUAAUACAUGCCAGUCGAGCGAACAGACGGGGAGCUUGCUCCUCUGACGUUAGCGGCGGACGGGUGAGUAACACGUGGAUAACCUACCUAUAAGACUGGGAUAACUUCGGGAAACCGGAGCUAAUACCGGAUAAUAUAUUUAACCGCAUGGUUCAAUAGUGAAAGACGGUUUUGCUGUCACUUAUAGAUGUAUCCGCGCCGCAUUAGCUAGUUGGUAAGGUAACGGCUUACCAAGGCAACGAUGCGUAGCCGACCUGAGAGGGUGAUCGGCCACACUGGAACUGAGACACGGUCCAGACUCCUACGGGAGGCAGCAGUAGGGAAUCUUCCGGAAUGGGCGAAAGCCUGACGGAGCAACGCCGCGUGAGUAAUGAAGGUCUUCGGAUCGUAAAACUCUGUUAUUAGGGAAGAACAAAUGUGUAAGUAACUAUGCACGUCUUGACGGUACCUAAUCAGAAAGCCACGGCUAACUACGUG
rnacentral:rRNA from 1 species